UGCUGGCAGCAAGUACAAUAAAAAAAAAAGCCUGAAAAUGACAGGGGGGGCACGUGCCUUGGUGCCCCCUCCCUGAAUCCGCCAAUGGCUGCGGGCACAAGAUCUUAAAUGCUGCCUGCACUGUUUAUCUAUCCGCGCUGUCCAUCUCAGGCUGCUGCUCCCCCCCCCCCGGUAUCAGGAUCACUCUCUGUACCCUGUUCUCAGGCUCCAGCUCUCCCCUGGUCUCAGUAAUCAGGCUCCUGAGGCUGCCCAGGAUGCGGUGAUGGUGUUGCUAUUACAACCUGCAGGUGACGGAAAAGUUUUUACCGGAACUGAAGCAUCCUUUCCAUGCCACCAUGUUGAGUGUCCAGCCUUAUUUACCUCAGAGAUCAAUGGGGCAAAAGACAGACGAUCAAUCAGGCUGGAGAGAGGAAACAAGACAUGAAGAAACCUUUACCCUCUAAUAGGGAUGAGCACAGAGGGAAACAGAGGCAGCAGGCCCUUCGGAUGCCUGCAAUUGUUUAGUGUUGGUUACUAUGACGAUCUCCCUGUCCCGCGGCGCACCGUGACGUCAUCACUCUGCGACACGGAAGCGUGCAGCAUGUGCGGGCGGGCGGCGGCGCCGUGAGGACAGGUGAGUACAAUCUUUGUACUAAUGUUGUUUUGUCUGUGGUGUAUAUAAAUGUCAUAUGUAGAUGCUUUUAUUGUUGUUUGAGCCCUGAGGACGGGGUGAUUUUCCCCGAAACAUGUAGGCGAUUAAAGGAAAUUUUAUCUUCAUAACGACUAAGUCUGCUUGAGUGCCGCCGUUCAUUCACUACCUAUGCUAGUCACAUUGCUGACUUGGAGGGCACCGCAGCAAAGGAACUCGUUGUCGUCUCUGGGA